GUAGUUGCCCAGCAGGGAGAGUAUCAUGAUCGAGAGGGUGGUUUUCCCAGGGUGAGGCUCACACUUCGUACUCCGGUGUGCUGACUCCUUCAAUUUCCCCAAAUGCAGAUAAGUUGAUUACAUCAUUUGUGGUAGUGGAGAACUGUGUUUGUGUUCACACACA